rnacentral:rRNA from 1 species
GACGAACGCUGGCGGCGUGCUUAACACAUGCAAGUCGAACGGAAAGGCCCUGUUCUUGUGGGGUGCGCGAGUGGCGAACGGGGGAGUAACACGUGAGUAACCUGCCCCUUACUGUGGGAUACCUUCAGGAAACUGGGGCUAAUACCGGAUAGGAGCUCCUGCUGCACGGGGGGGGUGGGAAAGUGUCGGAGGUUGGGGAUGGACUCGUGGUUUAUCAUCGUGUUGGUGGGGUAGUGGCUUACCAAGGCUUUGACGGGUAGCCGGCCUGAGAAGGUGACCGGGCACCUUGGGCCUGCGGUACGGCCCAGACUCCUACGGGCGGCAGCGGUGGGGAAUAUUGCACAGUGGGCCGGCGCCAGAUGAAGCGACGUCGCGUGCGGGAUGCCGGCCUUCGGGUUGUAAACGGCUUUCGCCGGGGACGAAGCGUGAGUGACGGUAAUGGGUACAGAAGCACCGGCUAACUACGUG